rnacentral:rRNA from 1 species
GACGAACGCUGGCGGCGUGCUUAACACAUGCAAGUCGAACGGAGUGGCGAACGGGUGAGUAACACGUGGGUGAUCUGCCUUGCACUCUGGGAUAAGCUUGGGAAACUGGGUCUAAUACCGGAUAGUGCAAGAUGAGCUCGCGGCCUACCAGCUUGUUGGUGGGGUAAGGGCCUACCAAGGCGUCGACGGGUAGCCGGUCUGAGAGGGUGUACGGCCACGUUGGGACUGAGGUACGGCACAGCCGCCUACGGGAGGAAGCAGUGGGGAAUAUUGCACAAUGGGCGGAAGGCUGAUGCAGCGACGCCGCGUGGGGGAUGACGGCCUUCGGGUUGUAAACGCCUAUCGGCUUGGACGCGGUACCUGUAGAAGAAGCACCGGCUAACUACGUGCCAGCCGCCGCGGUAAUAC